UGUUAAAAAUUUCAUCCAUUGUAUUGCUAAAAACUGACAUGGAUGAUGAGAUACCCAAAUAGUUAUAUAUCCCAUGUUGAUGUAUAUGGGCUGAUUUUUAACAGCAAAAAUUGAUGGAUUUUUAAACA
rfam:Gossypium arboreum cultivar AKA8401 contig_14274_5, whole genome shotgun sequence.